rnacentral:rRNA from 1 species
ACCAACAGGGAUUGCCCUAGUAACGGCGAGUGAAGCGGCAACAGCUCAAAUUUGAAAUCUGGCUCUUUUAGAGUCCGAGUUGUAAUUUGCAGAGAGCGCUUUGGCGUUGGCAGCGGUCCAAGUUCCUUGGAACAGGACGUCACAGAGGGUGAGAAUCCCGUACGUGGUCGCUAACCUUCGCCGUGUAAAGCCUCUUCGACGAGUCGAGUUGUUUGGGAAUGCAGCUCUAAAUGGGAGGUAAAUUUCUUCUAAAGCUAAAUACUGGCCAGAGACCGAUAGCGCACAAGUAGAGUGAUCGAAAGAUGAAAAGCACUUUGGAAAGAGAGUCAAACAGCACGUGAAAUUGUUGAAAGGGAAGCGCUUGCAGCCAGACUUGCCCGCAGUUGCUCAUCCGAACUUUUGUUCGGUGCACUCUUCUGCGGGCAGGCCAGCAUCAGUUUGGGCGGUUGGAUAAAGGUCUCUGUCAUGUACCUCCUCUCGGGGAGGCCUUAUAGGGGAGACGACAUGCAACCAGCCUGGACUGAGGUCCGCGCAUCUGCUAGGAUGCUGGCGUAAUGGCUGUAAGCGGCCCGUCUUGAAACACGGACCAAGGAGUCUAACAUCUAUGCGAGUGUUUGGGUGUCAAGCCCGAGCGCGUAAUGAAAGUGAACGGAGGUGGGAACCCUUAAGGGUGCACCAUCGACCGAUCCUGAUGUCUUCGGAUGGAUUUGAGUAAGAGCAUGGCUGUUGGGACCCGAAAGAUGGUGAACUAUGCUUGAAUAGGGUGAAGCCAGAGGAAACUCUGGUGGAGGCUCGCAGCGGUUCUGACGUGCAAAUCGAUCGUCAAAUUUGGGCAUAGGGGCGAAAGACUAAUCGAACU